GAUGAAGAACGCAGCGAAAUGCGAUAAGUAGUGUGAAUUGCAGAAUUCAGUGAAUCAUCGAAUCUUUGAACGCACAUUGCGCCCCUUGGUAUUCCAUGGGGCAUGCCUGUUCGAGCGUCAUUUGUACCUUCAAGCUUUGCUUGGUGUUGGGUGUUUGUCUCGCCUUUGCGUGUAGACUCGCCUUAAAAUAAUUGGCAGCCGGCGUAUUGAUUUCGGAGCGCAGUACAUCUCGCGCAUUGCACUCAUAACGACAGCGUCCAAAAGUACAUUUUACACUCUUGACCUCGGAUCAGGUAGGGAUACCCGCUGAACUUAAGCAUAUCAAUAAGCGGAGGA
rnacentral:misc_RNA from 1 species